rnacentral:tRNA from 1 species
GGCAAGAUGGCCGAGCGGUCCAAGGCGCCAGGUUCAGGUCCACUUGAAUUACUCUGAACAUCCUGUUCAAAGCUUCCUGGUCUCAGAAAUGGGGCGUGAGUUCGAAUCUCACUCUUGUCA